rnacentral:lncRNA from 1 species
GUUUCCCAGUCGCAAUGCAGCAAAGCAGAAGCAGACAACUAGGCACAAAGCAACAGAGUUUUAAAGUUUUCUUCUCCUGCUACUACUUAGCAUGUCUUACAUGAGGAGUAUUUACCUUUGUUUAGCCAGGAGCAGAGAUGCAUCCUGAAUGUACACGAUGGCUUCUAACUUGGCAGCGUGAAUUUUCAGCUGAGCAGGUACUGCUCGGAGACUUGUAACCAAACCGCCUCUGAUGGAGCACGGCUGGUCUCCCACCAUGUGUGUGAAUAGUUUGGGGGCUUCUUAUGCCACGCUGCUCUACCUGCAGGAAUAAAGGCUAGGACAAAGGAGAGGAUGCUUGCUAUGGUUUGUCUGGCUGGGGCCUGUGCGAGCGACUCACCGCACUGAUGCUGUGUGACUCCCCAGCUCACAUUUAAGGCUGGUCACGGGGCUGGCGCAGAUCCCCACUCCUCAGUUAGCGCACGGUUUAAAGGAGAAACCAGACUCCCUGACCUAAAUCACUCCCAGUCCUCUCUGGAUGCGGGACAGCUGUCGACUAGCAGUGACACAACCAGCCAUCAAGUGGAGAAUCGUUGCGACUGCAGUCUGUGUGCAGGUGGAGCCCGGGAGAAUGACAGUCUAAUUUCGGUCAUCCAACGGCUUUUCCUUAUUUUCCUAAAUAAUCGUGCUCGCUAAGUAUACAGUUGUCUGGAUUAGCCUGCCUGCCAUGCAGUCCUCAUCAACUCUGGCUGGAAAUCAGGGUGCCAGGCAAGCCGCCUUUAGCCCUGGCUCCUUUCUGCGUGAUGCUAUGCAGCUAGGAUGGGUCAUGCUGACAACAAAGAAGGAAGCAGAAAGCAUCACUUUCUCUUCUCUUGUGAUGUUAGCGGAACAUAACUCUUCUUCGCAGUGAUGCCCUUGUGUGUGGUGUAUGUGUGUGUGUGUGUGUGUGUGUUUUAAUUCAUCUAAUCGAAGAGCCCAACAAAUAUCAUCAUGGAUGUGAUUUUUAAUAAUUUGGAAAAAACAAAAAAAGACAGCCUGUGGAGACAGCGAUUCGAAACAGCGGCACAUUUAGGUUAUUGCCAAUUUGAAAUACUUGGUUUGUGAAGCUGAGCCCUAAGGGACAAGCUCGGUAACUGAGGAAGAGAUCGUAGAUAAAGAAAUAAAAAUGACAAGCGUAAUGGAGGCUCUGCGAAGGGACUGUCAGAGCAUCAGUUCAUGGAUGGCAAUUUCACCAGGCUGAGAUUGAAUAAUUCAUAGAUUGAAAUUACCCUGCUUUCACCUUUCCAUUUAAGCCGGCAUGAUCUGAAUCUCUCAUAAAUUUUCAAGAUAAAGUAAAAUGCCAAUUUGAAUCUGAAGAGCUUUUAAAACCAGAUGCUGCAUCCCUGAAUCUUUCGGUAUCUUUCACAAUUAUCCUAUGAGAACAGCACUUCAUCACGAAGCACCAUUACCAGGGAAAAUUACGGUGAUUACAAUAGCAACAAUAGAAUACCAUCAAAUGAUCUCUAAUUUACCUAAUUUGCUAAGACUGACUGUACGGUUUUGAUAUCCAUUGUAUGUCACCAUGCCCGGCACCCGUGAAGCUAUCUCGCACUGGAACAAAAGUGGCAUCGUGUGUGUGUGUGUGUAUGUGUGUAUGUGCACGCACACCCUGCUACCUUAACUGUGAAUGCCUAGCAAAGAACAUUCUCCUAGGUUACAAUAUUUCUUUCCUUUGGUUCACAUUUUCGCUUUUUUCCAAUGCCUCUACCCCAAAUGUGUUUGGGGAAAUGGAGAGCCUGUCAUGGGUUGGGAGACUGUUUUUUGAUACAGAAGAGCAUUGACUUGUUAAUUUAUAUACCCUCUUUAUUUUAAUGUAUACAAGCCUGUGUUUACUAAAAGGGAGGGAGGAUGCUGUUCUGGGAGAGUAAUUUUAAAAUGCAGCCGAGAUGUAGCAUAUGUGUUUGUUUCUUCUUUGAAACCCCUGUCUGUCUCUUUCAGGUUAGAAAUCCUUUCAGGGAAGUUUAGUCCUGGUGUGAUGUGUCAAAAACCUCUCAGAUUGCAAAGAAGCUCAGGAGAUACAAUCAGUAAUAACUCUGUACAGCUUUUAUUAAAAGCAUGCAUGUUCAAUUCAGUGAUUAAAUGAAGCUUCGGUACAACUUCGGCUAUGUUUGUGUCUGGUCACUCUGGAGUAGAAGUCUGUACUAAAGAGAACUUUUUGGGACAGGCUGCACGGUUCAUCUCAGGGUAAUUGUGCCAUCCUGAGAAGGUGGCAUGGAUCAUCAAUCCUCCCUGGAGAACAGACUGUAAUCAUUAAUAGGCACAAUGGCUUCUGGAAUUUUACUUUCAAUAGUGUGAAGGUAGUAUGUGGGUUUCUGCUAGUCAAGUGAUUUAAGUGUGAUUAUCGAAGGUAGGGCUUCAGAGGUAUGACCACCAUCUGUAUCACAGCUUUACCCCUUCCCUUAUCCUGUGACCCAACAAAUACCUUUGUCAGAGCAGAACUGGAAAUAUCGACAAACAGCACUGAAGGCUCCUGGUCUACCACAGGAGGUGAUCUCUAGUGAAGAAGGUUGAGAUUUGCAUGCAGAAUUUCCAGAAUGCUGAAUAUCAGCACGGAUCACUGCAAAGAAGUUGGAACUCAUCUCACAUGAACUUCUCAGGUUCUCUUACAAGACCACCAACAUUCUUCAAACAUCAGUGAAAUAAAACAGGAGGAGGGUUUCGAGCUCUGGAUCCUCAGCCUGGAAAUGUCACAAUUUAAUCCCAAAGGUUUGCUGUGAAGUUGUAAGCAUGACAGUGUGAAACUCGACAGAUUAUUCUUGAAUUCUUUGUUUGUUUUCGUUGUGACCCGACUCUCAUAAAAUUUAUGUUUUCUUCCAAACCCCCAGGGUGUGUGGUCAUAUGACUUAAAUAGAGAAAAACAUUGUCAAAACAGUAUUGAGGAGUUAUCACUUUUACAUUGUUUUAAUUAAAGAAAAAGCCUUUCUAUCCAGGUCUAAUACCAUCAUUUUUAUGGGCAUGUUAAAGUAUCUAAUCUAAUACUGUAGUUAGUAGUAGUAUUUAGUAUUUUUAGUAUUAUUAUAGUUUUAUCUGUAUCUUAAAGAAAAAGUCAAUAAAUAUGAAAACAGAGUUUGUUUUGGGAAUGUAUGCAAGUGCCCUCCAUGUUAAAAUCAUUUCAAUUUUGUGUGCAUGCACACGUGCACACACACACACACACACACACACACGGAGAAGAUCAGUGAAUAUCCUAUUCACAAAUGUUACAAGGAUUAUCUCAGGGUGGUGGGAUGAAGA